AACUUCCUACGGGGGGCAGCAGUCGAGAAUCAUUAACAAUGGGGGAAACCCUGAUGGUGCGACGCCGCGUGGGGGAAUGAAGGUCUUCGGAUUGUAAACCCCUGUCAUGUGGGAGCAAAUUAAAAUGAUAGUACCACAAGAGGAAGAGACGGCUAACUCUGUGCCAGCAGCAGCGGUAAUACAGAGGUCUCAAGCGUUGUUCGGAAUCACUGGGCGUAAAGCGUGCGAAGGCUGUUUCGUAAGACGUGUGUGAAAGGCGCGGGGUCAACGCGCGGAGGGC
rnacentral:rRNA from 1 species